rnacentral:rRNA from 1 species
AUUGAACGCUGGCGGCAUGCUUUACACAUGCAAGUCGAACGGCAGCGCGGGCUUCGGCCUGGCGGCUAGUGGCGAACGGGUGAGUAAUGCAUCGGAACGUGCCCAGUAGUGGGGGAUAGCCCGGCGAAAGCCGGAUUAAUACCGCAUACGACAUGAGGGUGAAAGCGGGGGAGCGAAAGACCUCGCGCUAUUUGAGCGGCCGAUGUCGGAUUAGCUAGUUGGUGGGGUAAAGGCUUACCAAGGCGACGAUCCGUAGCUGGUCUGAGAGGACGACCAGCCGCACGGGAACUGGGCCACGGCCCAGGCUCCUACGGGAGGCAGCAGUGGGGAAUGUUGGACAAUGGGGGCAACCCUGAUCCAGCCAUGCCGCGUGCGGGAAGAAGGCCUUCGGGUUGUAAACCGCUUUUGUUCGGGAAGAAAUCCUCUGGGCUAAUACCCCGGGGGGAUGACGGUACCGGAAGAAUAAGCACCGGCUAACUACGUG